CGCGACCCCAGGUCAGGCGGGGUUACCCGCUAAUUUAA
rnacentral:rRNA from 1 species